UACGAAGGGGGCUAGCGUUGCUCGGAAUCACUGGGCGUAAAGGGUGCGUAGGCGGGUCUUUAAGUCAGGGGUGAAAUCCUGGAGCUCAACUCCAGAACUGCCUUCGAUACUGGAAAGCUCGAGUCCGGGAGAGGUGAGUGGAACUGCGAGUGUAGAGGUGAAAUUCGUAGGUAUUCGCAAGAACACCAGUGGCGAAGGCGGCUCACUGGCCCGGUACUGACGCUGAGGUGCGAAAGCGUGGGGAGCAAACAGG
rnacentral:rRNA from 1 species